AAAGGUAGAUAGAUAAUAGCUUGAUUUUCAAGAGGAAAGUCCGUGCUGCAGUGAAGCAAGGUUCCAUCUAACGGAUGGCUAGAGUAAUCUAAGGGAUAGUGCAACAGAAAGUAAACAGCCAAUUUUUUGGUGAUGGUGAAACGGUAGAGUAAGAGCCUACCAGUGUUUUGAGUAAUCUUAACAGCUUUGUAAACCCAACUUGCAGUAAGAAGAUAUGGUAUUUAGCUUCACAUUUCUCAUCUUCGCAAGAGCUUUAAAGUGAUUUAAAGCCUAGAUAAAUUAUUGUCAAAUACAGAACACGGCUUAUAAUCUACCUUUUUUA
rnacentral:RNase_P_RNA from 1 species